CGUCAGCCUUGAAUCACAACAGCGAGCGUUUUCUGACAUCAAUUGCCACAGCUUAAAGAGGCUUGGGCUCGACAGACUGUAAAGUUGUUCGCGGGAUCUGGAGCUGAGUGACAAAACGCCCAUCAGGAGGUGUAAACCUGUCGAUGGCAAUUACCCACCAGGGAUCCUGGAGAAGCGGAAGAGGGAAACCUUGUAAAUCCAAGAGGCCCCAUUUGAAUGACUUAUUUAUUUGGGCAUCAUUUAAUGGAGGCUCCCAAAUGGACUUUGCUCUUCUGCAUGCUUUUUUUCCUUCCUAUUUACCUGGAACACAUCUGCUUGUGGAAGAGAGUGUCAGAACUGAAGAACGCCAUAUCAGCAUUCACAAUUAAUUUGAAGUACAGCACGCAGUUCAUGCCGUUUAACAGUAAGAAAACGUGAAUCGAGCCAUUAAGUCAAAAUUGGCAGAGCAUCCUGGCAUGGGCAGACCCUCUUCAACAACGCGGUGCUAGAGACAGAGCCUUGAAGACAAUGUUUAGUAUCGACAUGAGCGAAGAUGAAUAACUUUCUCGAAAGAGGAACAGAGGUAGUGAUGGCUCUGACAUCAGAAACUGAACCCUUACUGCCUGUUUCUCUUACACUGGAAGUAGAAGUAUCUGAAAGAGGAUCCACAGAACCUGGAAAAAGAAAUCAAAAUCAGAUUAUAAUGGAAUAUAUUC
rnacentral:lncRNA from 1 species